rnacentral:rRNA from 1 species
CGGACAGAUGGGAGCUUGCUCCCUGAUGUUAGCGGCGGACGGGUGAGUAACACGUGGGUAACCUGCCUGUAAGACUGGGAUAACUCCGGGAAACCGGGGCUAAUACCGGAUGCUUGUUUGAACCGCAUGGUUCAGACAUAAAAGGUGGCUUCGGCUACCACUUACAGAUGGACCCGCGGCGCAUUAGCUAGUUGGUGAGGUAACGGCUCACCAAGGCGACGAUGCGUAGCCGACCUGAGAGGGUGAUCGGCCACACUGGGACUGAGACACGGCCCAGACUCCUACGGGAGGCAGCAGUAGGGAAUCUUCCGCAAUGGACGAAAGUCUGACGGAGCAACGCCGCGUGAGUGAUGAAGGUUUUCGGAUCGUAAAGCUCUGUUGUUAGGGAAGAACAAGUGCCGUUCAAAUAGGGCGGCACCUUGACGGUACCUAACCAGAAAGCCACGGCUAACUACGUGCCAGCAGCCGCGGUAAUACGUAGGUGGCAAGCGUUGUCCGGAAUUAUUGGGCGUAAAGGGCUCGCAGGCGGUUUCUUAAGUCUGAUGUGAAAGCCCCCGGCUCACCCGGGGAGGGUCAUUGAAACUGGGAACUUGAGUGCAGAAGAGGAGAGUGAACUCCCACG